AGAGGAAGAGUCGGCGGUGCCAGGAGAUUUUGAUCAGGGGACUCAGCACCCCAGCGCGUAGGUUGUGAUUCGGACCGUGUUUGAGUCAGUCUACAAUUUCUAGUUGCAGGAUGCAUAGACAUGGAUGGGAUGAGCGCAGAGUGCGAGUAUGAGAGUCAUUAGUUGCUUAGUCUAUCUUGAUACCAAUGAAUAUUGAAAGCUUUUGUAAAUGAACCAAUUUGAUUAUCUGGUCAUGUUGGAUUUAUAUAUUUGAUUUAAGUGAUUAACUGUGGAAUUAUCGAA